rnacentral:rRNA from 1 species
AUUGAACGCUGGCGGCAGGCCUAACACAUGCAAGUCGAACGAGUGGCGGACGGGUGAGUUAUGUCUGGGAUUCUGCCUGAUGGAGGGGGAUAUUUACUGGAAACGGUAGCUAAUAACGCAUACCAUCAUAUGAACCCAUAUGGGAUUAGCUUGUAGGUGAGGUAACGGCACACCUAGGCGACGAUCCCUAGCUGGUCUGAGCGGAUGAUCAGCCACACUGGGACUGAGACACGACCCAGACUCCUACGGUAGGCAGCAGUGGGGAAUAUUGCAGAAUGGGCGAGAGCCUGAUGCAGCCAUGCCGCGUGUAUGAAGAAGGCCCUAGGGUUGUAAAGGACUUUCAGUCGGGAGGCGUUACCGACAGAAGAAGCACCGGCUAACUCCGUGCCAGCAGCCGCGGUAAUAC